UACAGAGGGGGCAAGCGUUGUUCGGAAUUACUGGGCGUAAAGGGCGCGUAGGCGGCCUUCUAAGUCGAACGUGAAAUCCCCGGGCUCAACCCGGGAACUGCGUCCGAUACUGGAAGGCUUGAAUCCGGGAGAGGGAUGCGGAAUUCCAGGUGUAGUGGUGGAAUGCGUAGAGAUCCGGAGGAACACCAGCGGCGAAGGCGGCAUCCUGGACUGGUCCUGACACUCAGGAGCGAAAGCGUGGGGAGCGAUCCGG
rnacentral:rRNA from 1 species